GCAAGUCGAGCGAGAGAUCCUUCGGGAUGAUCCUAGCGGCGGACGGGUGAGUAACACGUGGGCGAACCUGCCUCAUAGAGAGGAAUAGCCUCCGAAGGAGAUUAAUACCUCAUAACAUUGCAGUUUCGCAUGGAACAGCAAUUAAAGGAGCAAUCCGCUAUGAGAUGGGCCCGCGGCGCAUUAGCUAGUUGGUGAGGUAACGGCUCACCAAGGCGACGAUGCGUAGCCGACCUGAGAGGGUGAUCGGCCACAUUGGGACUGAGACACGGCCCAGACUCCUACGGGAGGCAGCAGUGGGGAAUAUUGCACAAUGGGGGAAACCCUGAUGCAGCCAACGCCGCGUGAGUGAUGACGGCCUUCGGGUUGUAAAGCUCUGUCUUCAGGGACGAUAAUGACGGUACCUGAGGAGGAAGCCACGGCUAACUACGUGCCAGCAGCAGC
rnacentral:rRNA from 1 species